GGUUGAUCCUGCCAGCAAUCAUAUGCUUGUCUCAAAGAUUAAGCCAUGCAUGUCUAAGUAUAAGUGAUUAUACAGCGAAACUGCGAAUGGCUCAUUAUAUCAGUUAUAAUCUACUUGAUCGAUUCUGUUAUUUGGAUAACUGUAGGAAUUCUAGAGCUAAUACAUGCAAAAUGACCGGAAUGGGGGCAACCUUAUGAAGGUCGCGUUUACUAGGAUAGAAACCAAGAUGGGGCGCAAGCUUCAUUUAACAGAUGACUCAUAGUAAGUUUUACGCGAAUCGAGGUUUCGGCCU
rnacentral:rRNA from 1 species